GACGAACGCUGGCGGCGUGCUUAACACAUGCAAGUCGAGCGGUAAGGCCCUUUCGGGGGUACACGAGCGGCGAACGGGUGAGUAACGCGUGGGUGACCUGCCCUCAGCUCUGGGAUAAGCCUGGGAAACCGGGUCUAAUACUGGAUAUGACUCCAUGACGCAUGUUGUGGGGUGGAAAGCCUUGUGCGGCUGAGGAUGGGCCCGCGGCCUAUCAGCUUGUUGGUGGGGUGANGGCCUACCAAGGCGACGACGGGUAGCCGGCCUGAGAGGGCGACCGGCCACACUGGGACUGAGACACGGCCCAGACUCCUACGGGAGGCAGCAGUGGGGAAUCUUGCGCAAUGGGCGAAAGUCUGACGCAGCGACGCCGCGUGAGGGAUGACGGCCU
rnacentral:rRNA from 1 species